GAUGAAUUGGACUAUAUCUGCCACCAUCUCCAGGAACUACUACAUCUAGACAUGCAGUUCAAGAUAUUUAUUAGGGUAUCAGAAUGCAGAAGCCCGCAACAAACAAGACUACAAUUGCUUCUUCAUAUAGCAGAUGGUCCAGUUCACAACCACAUCAGAUGAUGAGACACCCUUCUUUAAAGAAAGGAGGCCUACAGUCCAAGACUCUGUUUUUCUUAGAGUUUAAACAAUUCAAAGAGAAACAUUGCAUGACGACACUAUGGUCAGAUUUUCAGAUGUGGUUUAUUUCAUUUUCACCAGAACUCAUUAUGAAACUAUAUUUUUGCAUAUUAAAAUCCUCCA
rnacentral:lncRNA from 11 species